AGAGUUUGAUCAUGGCUCAGAGUGAACGCUAGUGAUCUGCCUUAUACAUGCAAGUCGAACGCAAAUUCAAAUUUGAAUAUUGAGUGGCGAACGGGUGAGUAAAAGAUAAGAAUUUAAUUUACAGUUUGGAAUAAGGGCUUUUAUAGUCUUAAUACCAAAUAUAAUUUAAUAUUUUUACAAUAUUAAAAAAAGAUUUUAUCGCUGUACAAAAAGCUUAUCUAGGAUUAGGUUGUUGGUGAGGUAAUGGCUCACCAAGCCGACGAUCCUUAAUUGGUCUUAGAGGAUGAUCAAUCACAUUGGAACUGAAACAAGGUCCAAAUCCUUUAUAGGGUCAGCAGUAGGGAAUAUUGGACAAUGAGCGCAAGCUUGAUCCAGCAAGAUCACGUGAACGAUAAUAUUUUUUGUUAAAAAUAUUUAAGAAGGAUAUAUUUCUGUAAAGUUCUUUCAUCGAGGAAGAUAAUGACAUUACUCGAAGAAGAAGUCCCGACUAACUUCGUGCCAGCAGUCGCGGUAAUACGGAGGGGACAAGUGUUACUCGGAAUUACUGGGCGUAAAGGGCUUUUAGGCUGUUUUUUAAGUUAAAAAUGAAAUCUUGAUAAAGGUUAUCAAAAGUGUUUUUAAUACUGGAAAACUAGAGUAAAACAGAGGACAGUAGUAUUCCUAAAGUAAAGGUGGAAUUUUAAGAUAUUAGGAGGACUAUCAUUAGGCGAAGGCAACUGUCUGGGUUUUUACUGACGCUGAAAGGCGAAAGCAUGGGGAGCAAAUAGGAUUAGAUACCCUAGUAGUCC
rnacentral:rRNA from 1 species